rnacentral:tRNA from 1 species
AUCUUUCUAGUAUGAAGAAGUAUAAGUGACUUCCAAUCACCCGGUCUUGGUUAAAGUCCAAGGAAAGAUA